ACGAACGCUGGCGGCAUGCCUAAUACAUGCAAGUCGAGCGGAGUUGAUGAGAAGCUUGCUUCUUUGAUGGUUAGCGGCGGACGGGUGAGUAACACGUAGGCAACCUGCCCUCAAGUUUGGGACAACUACCGGAAACGGUAGCUAAUACCGAAUAGUUGUUUUCUUCGCCUGAAGGAAACUGGAAAGACGGAGCAAUCUGUCACUUGGGGAUGGGCCUGCGGCGCAUUAGCUAGUUGGUGAGGUAACGGCUCACCAAGGCGACGAUGCGUAGCCG
rnacentral:rRNA from 1 species